rnacentral:tRNA from 1 species
GCCAUGGUGGUGCAAUGGUUAAGCACUUGGUUGCUAACUAAAAGGUUGGUGGUUCAAAACUAUCCAGUGGUU